rnacentral:rRNA from 1 species
GGGGAAUAUUGCACAAUGGGGGAAACCCUGAUGCAGCAACGCCGCGUGAGCGAUGAAGGCCUUCGGGUCGUAAAGCUCUGUCUUCGCUGACGAUAAUGACGGUAAGCGAGGAGGAAGCCACGGCUAACUACGUGCCAGCAGCCGCGGUAAUACGUAGGUGGCAAGCGUUGUCCGGAAUUAUUGGGCGUAAAGGGUGCGUAGGCGGUUUUUUAAGUGGGAUGUGAAAUACUAGGGCUCAACCUUAGAAUUGCAUUCCAAACUGGAAGGCUAGAGUGCAGGAGAGGAAAGCGGAAUUCCCAGUGUAGCGGUGAAAUGCGUAGAGAUUGGGAGGAACACCAGUGGCGAAGGCGGCUUUCUGGACUGUAACUGACGCUGAGGCACGAAAGCGUGGGGAGCAAAC